GAUCAAGUGAAUAAGCGCAUACGGUGGAUGCCUUGGCGAUAACAGGCGAUGAAGGACGUGGUAGUCUGCGAUAAGCCCCGGGGAGCUGACAAACAAGCUUUGAUCCGAGGAUUUCCGAAUGGGGAAACCCACCCGCAAGGGUAUCGGUACCUGAAUACAUAGGGUAUCCGAAGCGAACCUGGUGAACUGAAACAUCUAAGUAGCCAGAGGAAAAGAAAUCAACCGAGAUUCCGUUAGUAGUGGCGAGCGAACGCGGAGCAGCCCAGUCACAUCAAAUCGGCGUCUUUUAGUGGAACGGUCUGGAAAGUCCGGCGAUACAGGGUGAUAGCCCCGUACACGAAAAGAGGCGUCGGUGGGUGACGAAGAGUAGGGCGGGACACGUGGAAUCCUGUCUGAAUAUGGGGGGACCAUCCUCCAAGGCUAAAUACUCGUUAUCGACCGAUAGUGAACCAGUACCGUGAGGGAAAGGCGAAAAGAACCCCGGAGAGGGGAGUGAAAUAGAUCCUGAAACCGUAUGUGUACAAGCAGUGGAAGUCCCGUGCCUCAUGCACUCCUUCAUGGAGUCCAUGAGGCACGGGACGACUGCGUACCUUUUGUAUAAUGGGUCAGCGAGUUACUUUUCGUGGCAAGCCUAACCGUUUAGGGGAGGCGUAGGGAAACCGAGUCUGAAUAGGGCGAAUGAGUCGCGGGAAGUAGACCCGAAACCGGACGAUCUAUCCAUGGCCAGGUUGAAGGCGGGGUAACACCCGCUGGAGGACCGAACCAACCAAUGUUGAAAAAUUGGUGGAUGAGCUGUGGAUAGGAGUGAAAGGCUAAUCAAGUCCGGAGAUAGCUGGUUCUCCCCGAAAGCUAUUUAGGUAGCGCCUCGUGUAUCACCAUUGGGGGUAGAGCACUGUUACGGCUAGGGGUCCAUCCCGGAUUACCAAACCGUUGCAAACUCCGAAUACCAAUGAGUGCAGCACGGGAGACACACGGCGGGUGCUAACGUCCGUCGUGAAGAGGGAUGAAAACCCAGACCGCCAGCUAAGGUCCCCAAAUUACAGCUUAGUGGGAAACGAUGUGGGAAGGCUUAGACAGCCAGGAUGUUGGCUUAGAAGCAGCCAUCAUUUAAAGAAAGCGUAAUAGCUCACUGGUCGAGUCAGCCCGCGCGGAAGAUUUAACGGGGCUCAAGCUGUAUACCGAAGCUGCGGAUGUGCCUGUCCUCGGACAGGCACGUGGUAGGGGAGCGUUCUGUAAGCCUGCGAAGGUGACUCGGAAGGGUUGCUGGAGGUAUCAGAAGUGCGAAUGCUGACAUGAGUAGCGAUAAUGCGGGUGAAAAACCCGCACGCCGAAAGCCCAAGGUUUCCUGCGCAACGUUAAUCGGCGCAGGGUGAGUCGGCCCCUAAGGCGAGGUCGAAAGACGUAGUCGAUGGGAAACAGGUUAAUAUUCCUGUACCGGACGUUACUGCUAUGGGGGGACGGAGAAGGCUAGGCCGGCCGGGUGUUGGAUGUCCCGGUUUAAGCGUGUAGGUAGAUCCACUAGGCAAAUCCGGUGGGUUAUUACUGAGGCGUUAUGACGAGGUCCUUAAGUGGACCGAAGUGGUUGAUGCCAUGCUUCCAGGAAAAUCCUCUAUGCUUCAGGUAACGAACGACCGUACCCCAAACCGACACAGGUGGGCAGGGUGAGAAUCCCAAGGCGCUUGAGAGAACUCGGGUUAAGGAACUCGGCAAAUUGACACCGUAACUUCGGAAGAAGGUGUGCCUCCGGUAGGUGAAGGGCCUGCGCCCGGAGCCGAUGGAGGUCGCAGAGAAACGGUAGCUGCAACUGUUUAAUAAAAACACAGCACUCUGCAAACGCGUAAGCGGACGUAUAGGGUGUGACGCCUGCCCGGUGCUGGAAGGUUAAGUGAUGGGGUCAGCCGCAAGGCGAAGCUCUUGAUCGAAGCCCCAGUAAACGGCGGCCGUAACUAUAACGGUCCUAAGGUAGCGAAAUUCCUUGUCGGGUAAGUUCCGACCUGCACGAAUGGCGUAAUGAUGGCUACACUGUCUCGACCCGAGACUCAGCGAAGUUGAAUUUGCUGUGAAGAUGCAGCAUACCCGCCGCAAGACGGAAAGACCCCGUGCACCUUUACUAUAGCUUCACACUGGACUUUGAACAUGUCUGUGUAGGAUAGGUGGGAGGCAACGAAGUGGGGACGCUAGUCCUCAUGGAGCCAACCGUGAAAUACCACCCUGACCUGUUUGAGGUUCUAACCGUGGUCCGUCAUCCGGAUCCGGGACCGUGUGUGGUGGGUAGUUUGACUGGGGCGGUCUCCUCCCAAAGAGUAACGGAGGAGCGCGAAGGUACCCUCAGCGCGGUCGGAAAUCGCGCUUCGAGUGCAAUGGCAUAAGGGUGCUUAACUGCGAGACAGACACGUCGAGCAGGUGCGAAAGCAGGUCAUAGUGAUCCGGUGGUUCUGUAUGGAAGGGCCAUCGCUCAACGGAUAAAAGGUACGCCGGGGAUAACAGGCUUAUACCGCCCAAGAGUUCAUAUCGACGGCGGUGUUUGGCACCUCGAUGUCGGCUCAUCACAUCCUGGGGCUGUAGCCGGUCCCAAGGGUAUGGCUGUUCGCCAUUUAAAGUGGUACGCGAGCUGGGUUUAGAACGUCGUGAGACAGUUUGGUCCCUAUCUGCGGUGGGCGUUGGAGAUUUGAGAGGAUCUGUCCUUAGUACGAGAGGACCGGGAUGGACGUACCUCUGGUGUGCCGGUUGUCAUGCCAAUGGCAUUGCCGGGUAGCUAUGUACGGAUGGGAUAACCGCUGAAAGCAUCUAAGCGGGAAACCCACCUCAAGAUGAGAUCUCCCUGAGAGUGUAACUCUCCUAAAGGUUCGUCGAAGACUACGACGUUGAUAGGCGGGGUGUGUAAGUCCAGUAAUGGAUUGAGCUAACCCGUACUAAUUGACCGUGCGACUUGAUCAU
rfam:Acidiferrobacter thiooxydans strain ZJ Contig_36, whole genome shotgun sequence.